UUUCCCUGUGUCUGCACAUUUUGUAGGGUCUCUCAGUGACCCCUAGUACCAUCCAGAGGUGUUUAUGGGUCCUUUUUGUGGUGUCUAAGGUUUUGAUAAUUUGUGCAUAUAUCCAGGACUGAAUUGAAUUUGGGUCUGAAUUUGAUCCUAAACGUCUGUUCAGGCAGGAGCAGGUCAGAGCAUUGAUGUAAUUUAUUGAGGAUAAACCACCAGCACAGAACCCCCUCUGUGAGCUCUGACUCCCAGAAUUGUGGGGCUCCACUGAUGCCCACGGUGCUCUCAGAAUUUGGCUCUCACAAAGCCCCUUCAUUUUUUAUUCUGCCUGCUCUCUGAUUUGCUGCCAGCUCACCAUCUUUCUGGGAGAGCAUCUCUUGGAGCUGUGGCCAGAGCAAGGUUGCAGAUAAUCCCUGCUCUGGGACUGCCAUCCACGUCCAAAAUCCUUUGAAGUCCAUGGCUGAACUUCCACUGGAUGCAGAGGGUGCUGGAUCCUGAACUCGCAUUUUGCUUUUUGUAAUUCCUGUAGCACCCUCCAAUGCUCUUAUCCAUUGCUGCUCUUCCAUUUCCUAAAAGAAAAACCAUUGUUCAUCUUUUGAGUUG